rnacentral:rRNA from 1 species
UACGAAGGGGGCUAGCGUUGCUCGGAGUUACUGGGCGUAAAGGGCGCGUAGGCGGACAGUUUAGUCAGAGGUGAAAGCCCAGGGCUCAACCUUGGAAUUGCCUUUGAUACUGGCUGUCUUGAGUUCGGGAGAGGUGAGUGGAAUGCCGAGUGUAGAGGUGAAAUUCGUAGAUAUUGGGAAGAACACCGAUGGCGAAGGCAGCCAUCUGGACCGACACUGACGCUGAGGCGCGAAAGCGUGGGGAGCAAACAGG